UGUAAACUUGCUCAGGGUGUGACCUGACGCAAACUUUAUUAAUGUUCUUAUUACUAUCUAGCAACAUAUAACAUUAUAUCUGACAACAUUACAAGUUUUGGCAACAUAAGAUUACAUAAAUAUCGAUAACAAUGUGGUAUUUAUUACAAUUAAUUAAAAAUUUUUUUUUCUUGCUUUAAUUUAAUUUUAUUUUAAGAUUAAGCUCAGGUUAGCCCGCUCGGCCGAGUGGCUGCUGGUCCGGCCACCGAGGAUGCGUUGCCUGUGGAUUGGCUCGAUCAACCGAGUGGCUGCUGGUCCGGCCACCCGGGAUGCGUAUGGGUCUGGAGGAUGUUUUGACUUUUGAUGUGCGGAGAAUUUGGUUUGCUGCCGAUUUGGU
rnacentral:sRNA from 15 species